UUAGCUGAAAUGAUACAGAAAAGAUUAGCAUGGCCCCUGUACAAGAAUGACUGGCAAAUCUGUAAAGCAUUCUAUU
rnacentral:snRNA from 1 species